rfam:Brachypodium distachyon strain Bd21 chromosome 5, whole genome shotgun sequence.
CCGCAUGAGUUGCGUUGUGCUGUAAAUAUGAACAGAGAAUCAGGUUGAUGGACUUUAGAUGACCAUCAUGUGUCAUAGAUGCUCAUAAAGAACCAUCACACAUAC